rnacentral:rRNA from 1 species
GUCGAACGAUGAACCUUAUUAGAUUUCUUCGGAAUGAAAAUAAGUGGAUUACCGUUGAACGGGUGAGUAACACGUGAGUAACCUGCCUUACACAAGGGGAUAGCCUUUGGAAACGAAGAAUAAUACCCUAUAAAGUCAAAAUAUCGCAUGAUAAAGUGACCAAAGAUUUAUCGGUGUAAGAUGGACUUGCGUCUGAUUAGCUAGUUGGUGAGAUAAAAGCCCACCAAGGCGACGAUCAGUAGCCGGCUUGAGAGAGUGUACGGCCACAUUGGGACUGAGACACGGCCCAAACUCCUACGGGAGGCAGCAGUGGGGAAUUUUGCACAAUGGGGGAAACCCUGAUGCAGCGACGCCGCGUGAUUUAGAAGGCCUUCGGGUUGUAAAAAUCUUUUUUAUGGGAUGAAAAUGACAGUACCAUAAGAAUAAGGUCCGGCUAAAUACGUGCCAGCAGCCGCGGUAAUACGUAUGGACCGAGCGUUGUCCGGAAUCAUUGGGCGUAAAGGGUACGUAGGCGGCCUAGUAAGUUAGAAGUGAAAUAAUAUAGCUCAACUAUAUAAAGCUUUUAAAACUGUUAGGCUUGAGAGAUGAAAGGGAAAGUGGAAUUCCUAGUGUAGCGGUGAAAUGCGCAGAUAUUAGGAAGAAUACCGGUGGCGAAGGCGACUUUCUGGUCAUCAUCUGACGCUGAGGUACGAAAGCGUGGGUAGCAAACAGGAUUAGAUACCCUGGUAGUCCACGCUGUAAACGAUGAGUGUUAGGUUCUUGGAAUAAUCUGGGAGCCGCAGCUAACGCAUUAAACACUCCGCCUGGGG